rnacentral:rRNA from 1 species
UACGUAGGGUGCAAGCGUUAAUCGGAAUUACUGGGCGUAAAGCGUGCGCAGGCGGUUCUAUAAGACAGAUGUGAAAUCCCCGGGCUCAACCUGGGAACUGCAUUUGUGACUGUAGAGCUGGAGUACGGUAGAGGGGGAUGGAAUUCCGCGUGUAGCAGUGAAAUGCGUAGAUAUGCGGAGGAACACCGAUGGCGAAGGCAAUCCCCUGGACCUGUACUGACGCUCAUGCACGAAAGCGUGGGGAGCAGACAGG